UGGGGAAUAUUGGACAAUGGGGGGAACCCUGAUCCAGCAAUGCCGCGUGUGUGAAGAAGGCCUUAUGGUUGUAAAGCACUUUAAGCGAGGAGGAGGGUACUGGUAUUAAUACUACCAGGUACUGGACGUUACUCGCAGAAUAAGCACCGGCUAACUCUGUGCCAGCAGCCGCGGUAAUACAGAGGGUGCGAGCGUUAAUCGGAUUUACUGGGCGUAAAGCGUGCGUAGGCGGCUAAUUGAGUCGGAUGUGAAAUCCCCGAGCUUAACUUGGGAAUUGCAUUCGAUACUGGUUAGCUAGAGUGUGGGAGAGGAUGGUAGAAUUCCAGGUGUAGCGGAGAAAUGCGUAGAGAUCUGGAGGAAUACCGAUGGCGAAGGCAGCCAUCUGGCCUAACACUGACGCUGAGGUACGAAAGCAUGGGGAGCAAACAGG
rnacentral:rRNA from 1 species